GAAACGACUGCUAAGACUGGAUAGGAAAAGUAAAGGCAUCUUUACUUUUUUAAAAGAUCUUCUUUGAAGGUAUGCUUAAGGAGGGGCUUGCGACACAUUAGUUAGUUGGCAGGGUAAAGGCCUACCAAGACUAUGAUGUGUAGCUGGACUGAGAGGUUGAACAGCCACAUUGGGACUGAGACACGGCCCAAACUCCUACGGGAGGCAGCAGUAGGGAAUUUUCGGCAAUGGAGGAAACUCUGACCGAGCAACGCCGCGUGAACGAUGAAGUACCUCGGUAUGUAAAGUUCUUUUAUUAAGGAAGAAAAAAGAGUGGAAAAACUCCCUUGACGGUACUUAAUGAAUAAGCCCCGGCUAAUUAUGUGCCAGCAGCCGCGGUAAUACAUAAGGGGCGAGCGUUAUCCGGAAUUAUUGGGCGUAAAGGGUGCGUAGGCGGUUUAAUAAGUCUAUAGUUUAAUUUCAGUGCUUAACGCUGUUGUGCUAUAGAAACUGUUUUACUAGAGUGAGAUAGAGGCAAGCGGAAUUCCAUGUGUAGCGGUAAAAUGCGUAAAUAUAUGGAGGAACACCAGAGGCGUAGGCGGCUUGCUGGGUCUUUACUGACGCUGAGGCACGAAAGCGUGGGGAGCAAACAGGAUUAGAUACCCUGGUAGUCCACGCCGUAAACGAUGAGUACUAAGUGUCGGGUAAAACUGGUACUGAAGUUAACACAUUAAGUACUCCGCCUGAGUAGUACGUACGCAAGUAUGAAACUUAAAGGAAUUGACGGGACUCCGCACAAGCGGUGGAUCAUGUUGUUUAAUUCGAAGAUACACGAAAAACCUUACCAGGUCUUGACAUUUUCUUGCGAAAUUAUAGAAAUAUAAUGGAGGUUAUCAGGAAAACAGGUGGUGCAUGGUUGUCGUCAGCUCGUGUCGUGAGAUGUUAGGUUAAGUCCUAAAACGAGCGCAACCCUUGUCGUUAAUUGCCAGCAUGUAAUGAUGGGGACUUUAACGAGACUGCCAAUGAAAAAUUGGAGGAAGGUGGGGAUUACGUCAAAUCAUCAUGCCCCUUAUGAUCUGGGCUACAAACGUGAUACAAUGGUUGAUACAAAGAGUAGCUGAAACGCGAGUUCUUAGCCAAUCUCAAAAAAUCAAUCUCAGUUCGGAUUGAAGUCUGCAACUCGACUUCAUGAAGUUGGAAUCGCUAGUAAUCGCGAAUCAGCAUGUCGCGGUGAAUACGUUCUCGGGGUUUGUACACACCGCCCGUCA
rnacentral:rRNA from 1 species